UGAUUUUCUCCGUGGCAGGUGCAAUGAGCUUAUGUUCUUUGCAUUGAUGCCGGUCAAAUUGGUUUUCACUUGCCUCUAACUCAAUUGAAGCAGGAUGCGCGGAAGGUGCCACGGGCUCCAGUGGAACUUCACUGUCAUGACAAGAAACACUUGUGGACCCAUUUUCAACAGCACUUGUGCUAGGUUCUAUGUAUACUUCAGGUUCCUUAAUUUCGUUGCCAAUUAAGACGCCACCUGCUGGCUCUUUCUCUAGUGAAUGCAGAGAAGAUAGUCUUAGAUACUCCAUCAAUUGUAUUAGCCAAUUAGGUUUUAGAUGCUCAAAUACACAAAAUGAUAACUGUUAGAACUUUCGUAGUGUAUGAAGAAAAGGCCAAAUAAACUGCGUUAUUCACAUAAACUACCUUCAACAGUAAACUGAUCAACAGAGAUGGAAGAGGAAGACAUGGAUAUCUCGAUCUUAUCCACUUUAACAUCAUAUUGCUGCCAGUCAGUAAACAAGCAUGGGAAUCUGUUAGAAGCUGGUUAACUAUUAAGACUACAAAUAUCAGAUUCAAGACUAAGCUGAAAAAAAUAUAUUAAAACCAAUGGUUCUUCAAACAUUUGAAUAUUACAUCAAGAAAAUAUAUAGUUCAAGAAGAUACAGUUCACUGAAAGGAGUUCAUUACUUCUACAGAGACAAAAACAACUUUGUACUAAUUACCUCUUGUGUAGGAGAGUGGUGUAACAAUUUUGUUUGAAAAUUAUUCUCAAAGGAUCUGCCUGAAGAAGUGGGAGAUAAUUUUCCUCCACAUGUAAAAGCUUGUCUGGAAGAAGAGGACGAAGCAUUAUUUGGAGCUGAUGAUGCUGCACCAUAGCACUUGCUAAGAAUGCCCUUAUUAUUUCUGGAAUCCAUGCGGUGAGUAUCUAGGUCCGAGCUCACUUUAUACUCAGCUGGAACAUUUUGUUGCUUCCCUUCAAUAGGAUUAUGUUCCUUCCUAUUCAAGUCCAAUGAAUCUAGAGAAAGUGUGUACACCUUAGAAAUAAGACGACUUGCAGAUACAUAAGCACAGGAAGCAGAAUGCCGUGACUCAGCAACACAGACCUAUAUAUAGC